rnacentral:rRNA from 1 species
GGACGCUCAUGAGGGUUUCGGCCCUUGUGGGAGUGGCGGACGGGUGAGUAGCGCGUGGGAACCUGCCCCUUUGUGGGGGAUAACCGAGGGAAACUUCGGCUAAUACCGCAUGCGCCCCUGGGGGAGACCUUGGGGGGAAAGAUUUAUCGCAGAGGGAGGGGCCCGCGUCGGAUUAGGUAGUUGGUGGGGUAACGGCCUACCAAGCCUUUGAUCCGUAGCUGGUCUGAGAGGAUGAUCAGCCACACUGGGACUGAGACACGGCCCAGACUCCUACGGGAGGCAGCAGUGGGGAAUAUUGGACAAUGGGCGCAAGCCUGAUCCAGCAAUGCCGCGUGAGUGAUGAAGGCCUUAGGGUUGUAAAGCUCUUUCGGCGGGGACGAUGAUGACGGUACCCGCAGAAGAAGCCCCGGCUAACUUCGUG